UGUGAUCCAUUUCUUUCAUAUUUUCGGUCCAGUUCUCUAUUCCAAACCGACGUUAGGAAAAUAAGGAACACUGCGCAUUUGUUGUGUUUCCUUCAAGGAUUGUUUAGUUGGAGUUGUUGCCAACUUCCUGAUGAGCUAUUUCUGAAGCUGUGUUGGAGACCACACUUCCUUUCCUGUCUUAAGGAAAAGAAGACCAGGCAGAGCAAAACAGCUUUCCUUGGAGAAAAGUAAGCCCUUCAAUCACUAGGGAUCAGCCGUCCCAUCGGACUGCAGGUGAUGGAAUGCAGGAAGAUGACUCUGUGAAGAUUCACCUGGUGGAGGAGGGGACAGCAAUAUGAAUGUGGGGCUGAAGAAUUUGUCCACCGUUGUUUUUUCCAUUUCUCACUCAUUCUAAAGGAAAAUAAAUUUCUCAGACUUUGA